CGGAGUGUAGCGCAGUCUGGUAGCGCAUCUGCUUUGGGAGCAGAGGGUCACAGGUUCAAAUCCUGUCACUCCGACCA
rnacentral:tRNA from 1 species